CACAUCUGGAUCCGCCAUGGAGCCGGAAGAAAGGGAAGUGAUCCAAGUGAUGGCCAAGUUUUGCUGUGAUGGAAAUCUCCUGGGAUGCCAUGGCCACAAAUGGAACCCAUGGGGGCCAGAGGGCUACUGCGUCGCUGCUCCUGCGGGCACCUGCCUAUAGCAUCGCCUUCCAGCUGAUGGUGCCUGUGUUCCAGCUGGAGAUUCCCGUGUCCUCCCUUCCCCGAGACAGCCCCGAUCCCUGCUGGCUGAGAGGUCACAUCUGGAUCCGCCAUGGAGCCGGAA